ensembl:lncRNA
AGGACGAGAGGUUGCGCACCACGCCUAAGGACACACAAACACACACAAACACACACAAACACACACAAACACACACAAACACACACACACAAACAGAAAUUAGAGGGAGAGGACUCACUGGAAACCGGCCCACAAGACAACUGUAAUUUACAAUACAGAUUCUAAAUUCAUUUGGUGGGCCAGAUUAUUGGGUUGGUCCUGGCAUCAGGUUAUAUGUUUUACACCACUGACAUAGAGUUUGGUCUGUAUUUGGAAUCGGAGAGAUACUAAAGAACAUGGUCAUAGUACUAUACUACCCAUAGAUUGGGACAUCUACAGACAAGUGUAUACACAAUAUGUAGUGUAUACACAAUAUGUCACCAUCUAACGCAGCCAUUAAUGAAAGAAGACCACUGUGUGUGAGUCACAGAAGGAUUGCUAGGAUUUUGAAAUAUUCUCAACACUGUAGUAUAUACAUGUUUAAUAAUGUGCCCAGUACUUGUACACUUUGUAUAAAGCGUGCCAAUGUGGUAGGUGUACCUGAUAAAUGGACAAUUAAAGUAUAAGCAAGC